CGCGGGAUGGAGCAGCCUGGUAGCUCGUCGGGCUCAUAACCCGAAGGUCGCCGGUUCAAAUCCGGCUCCCGCAACCA
rnacentral:tRNA from 1 species